rnacentral:pre_miRNA from 1 species
UUAACUCAGUUUUGUAUGCAGUUGGAACAGCGCCCCUAGCGGCAAACGUAGGCAAGCGUUCCAACUCCAUACAAUUUUGAGUUA